UCCAGGCUCCCAUAGCCAGGAAACGUCUGUCCCUUUUUUUCACCAUCUAUUUUGUGUUAUUCUGCUCAGAUAGAUAAACUGCUGGGCAGGAAAUGCUCUGUCAAGGAACAAAGCUGGGAUUCAAUUAGGUGGGCUACAGAACAACUAGAAGGCUAGGUGGCCAAGAAAACCAGAAUAACCCCAAACCCCAACAUUUCAUAAAAGAAAGAAACAGCAGCCUUUCUCCUGUCCCUGCACAGUCGGGGCAAGUGCUGCCUUUUGGGCCUGCUGGCAUCAGGCAGGUGAUGGAAGGGGACACGCACCAGGCAAUGGGCGCCAGUCUUCGUUCGUGACCCGGGCAAACACCAUCAGAUGAGAUGCACCCUCUGCCAGUGCUGGCCCAGAGAAGGCAUUUGCUAUAAGAAAGUAAGGAUUAUUAGGAAUUCUUUUAAAGUACAAAGGAAAGUCACUGACACAAUGUGAAGUACGUUCAUGGACACAUCACCAGGAGUUCCAGACCACUUGGGCAACUGUGGGUGUCCCUGUUGGCAACAGCGCCCUCUCCUGGCCAAAGGAGAGCUUGCUCUGGAGAUGUCUAAGGCUGCUAGGUCACCUUGGGUUAAAACAGAGAUGAUACAAGAGCCACUGACGAUUUCUGAACAUGGGCUAUUCCACUGGAACUUCCUGCAAAUCAGGACUAAUGAUGACAAACCAGAAGGAGACGGAUAAACUCACCUUCCCGGCAGCGUUGGGGUGUGCCUCUCGUUCCAGCAGCAGCUCUGCCACCCUGACUUUCCCGUACUUAGCCGCCACGUGGAGAGGGGUAAAUCCUUUCUGAGGAGAAACAC